rnacentral:rRNA from 1 species
UACAGAGGUCCCAAGCGUUGUUCGGAUUCACUGGGCGUAAAGCGUGCGCAGGCGGUUUUGUAAGCCAGAUGUGAAAGCCCCGGGCUUAACCUGGGAAUGGCAUUUGGGACUGCAAGGCUUGAGUGCGGCAGAGGAGACUGGAAUUCCCGGUGUAGGCAGUGAAAUGCGUAGAUAAUCGGGAGGAAUACCGAUGGCGAAGGCAGGUCUCUGGGCUGACACUGACGCUCAUGCACGAAAGCGUGGGGAGCAAACAGGAAUUAGAUACCCCGUGUAA